GACGAACCGUGCGAACGUUAUUCGGAUUGAUUGGGCUUAAAGGGUGCGUAGGCGGGCGACCAAGUCUGCGGGUGAAAGCCCCCGGCUCAACCGGGGAGUGCCCGGGAUACUGGCCGCCUGGAGGUGGGGAGAGGCGUCUGGAACUGCCGGUGGAGCGGUGGAAAUGCGUAGAAAUCGGCAGGAACUCCGGAGGCGAAGGCGAGGCGCUGGACCCAUCCUGACGCUGAGGGUGCGAAAGCCAGGGGGAGCCGAACGGG
rnacentral:rRNA from 1 species